CUAUACAUGACUCUGCGCAUAUCAAUAAGCGGAGGAAAAGAAACUAACAAGGAUUCCCCUUAGUAACGGCGAGUGAAGCGGGAAGAGCUCAAAUUUGAAAUCUUAAAGGGUUUCCCUUUACGAAUUGUAGUUUAAAGAAGUGUUUUCUGUUGAGGUUUUGGUAAAAGUUCUUUGGAAUAGGACAUCAUAGAGGGUGAGAAUCCCGUAUUUGACCUUUACUUUCAACUUUGUGAUACACUUUCAAAGAGUCGGAUUGUUUGGGAAUGCAGUCCAAAAUGGGUGGUAAAUUUCAUCUAAAGCUAAAUAUUGGCGAGGGACCGAUAGCGAACAAGUACCGUGAGGGAAAGAUGAAAAGAACUUUGAAAAGAGAGUUAAACAGUACGUGAAAUUGUCAAAAGGGAAGCGUUUGACACCAGUGUUGUUUUUCUGAAAAUCAAUUAAAGAACUGUUUAUGCUAAGUUGUUUAGACUUUAUCAGCUAACUGUUUAGUUUUGAGCUUUUCUUUAAUGCACUUUCUCAGUUAACAAGUCAACAUCAAUUUCUUUUGCUGUAAAAAAGCUUGAGGAAGGUGGCUUGAGAUUCGUCUUAAGUGUUUAUAGCCUCUUGCCUAUGCAGUCGGAGAGAUUGAGGUCUGCAGCGUAGAUCCUUCGGGGCUAAAUGCAUUUGUGCUAAGUUAUAGCAUUUUAUAGACAACUUGCUUGACUAUGAUUUGUCUUGUAGCUUACUCGCUUAUGCUAUUUUACCUACGCUUAGGAUGUUGACAGCAGUAUAGACUGU
rnacentral:rRNA from 1 species